UACGUAGGGGGCGAGCGUUGUCCGGAUUCAUUGGGCGUAAAGGGUGCGUAGGCGGUCGGGUAAGUCUGACGUGAAAUCUCCGAGCCUAACUCGGAAACUGCGUCGGAUACUAUUCGGCUAGAGGAAUGGAGGGGAGACUGGAAUUCUCGGUGUAGCAGUGAAAUGCGUAGAGAUCAUGAGGAAGACCAGUGGCGAAGACGGGUCUCUGGACAGUUCCUGACACUGAGACACGAAGGCCAGGGGAGCAAACGGG
rnacentral:rRNA from 1 species